CUUGUGGCAGCUUCACACACAUUCCCGGACUUCAACAAGACCAACAACUUCCUGCGUUAAAAAUGACGCUACUUUGUAAUCUUAUGCUGGGACUUUGUUGCCUGGCCAUCAUCAUGACAAGAAAACAUUUAUGCCAAGGUGCAGGGCAACGGAGCUGCUGUACAUCAUACACCAAACCCCGUGCUGUGAACAUUAUUCUGAGACAUAGACAAAAGGUGGAGCUUUGCUGGAAGCAGGGUAUUACCGAACAGUGUAACAUUGAAGCCGUUGUACUUAAGUGGAGACACCGGUACAUAUGUGUGGAUCCUAAACCUCGCAAGAUGCACAAACUUGUUGAACGCUUGUGCAACAGGAAAGUUCAACAAGGAAUGAGAAAGAAUGGCUAACUUCCCAGGAAGAAGAACAGUAUCUGAACAUCUGCACAAAAAUGAAUUACCGUAGUUUUCGGGUCAUAAGUCGCUACUUUUUUCCGACACUGUGAACACUGCGGCUUAUACGGACGUGCGGCUAAUGCAUUUUUUUUUUCAUGCGGCCAAAAACAUUUUGCCUGGUAACAGUAGACCAAUAAAAUUGAUAAGUAGUAUAUAUACGGUAUAUAUUUUUACCGGUUGUUAAGAGACGUUGUAAUGUUGUUUGUGCACUGUUCCGUAAAAAAACCACAAGCAACGUAAUUUGUGUGUUACCGAUACGUAUGUAUACUUAAAGGUAGCCGUGUUACAGGCGCUGUUCGAGGGAAAAAAAAGCAUUUGCAAUAUGUAUUUUUGUAUGUUACCAUAACGUUUAUGUUACCAUGUUUAUGUUACCUUACGGAUUAAAUUAAACGUUGAAAAUCCUCACAUGUAAUAUUUCUGUGUAAAUAUCUCAAAUUACAAGUAAAAUCCGGUGCGGCCUGUACAAGCACAAAACUGAUUUUCUUUCUACAAUUAGAGCAUGCGGCUUUUAAUCAGGUGCGCUCUGUAGUCCGGGAUUUACGGUAAUCUAUCCUUGCUACAAAUAGCAUGCCUAUAUAGCACUUAUUCUCAAAAUGUGUUUUGUACAUGUUUUAGCUAAACAAAUUAAACAAAGUUUUUUAUAUUAUAAUAACAAUAUCUGAGGGCUGAGGCCAGAUCAAGAUGACAGGUUGCUCUUUUUUAAGUGCUUUAUACAUGUAACAAAAAAAAAAGGAAAUGUGAGUACCGCACAAAAGUUUAACUGUUAAAUGUGAUGUAAUUUUAAUGGUUUCAAACAAACUGAAUAGCUAAAAACUGGGAAAAAUCUCCACAAAUAUCUUAUGCUAGCAUGACAUUGUGAC
ensembl:lncRNA